rnacentral:rRNA from 1 species
GUGGGGAAUAUUGGACAAUGGGCGCAAGCCUGAUCCAGCAAUGCCGCGUGGGUGAAGAAGGUCUUCGGAUCGUAAAGCCCUUUCGACAGGGACGAUGAUGACGGUACCUGUAGAAGAAGCCCCGGCUAACUUCGUGCCAGCAGCCGCGGUAAUACGAAGGGGGCUAGCGUUACUCGGAAUUACUGGGCGUAAAGGGCGCGUAGGCGGCUCUGUUAGUCAGGCGUGAAAUUCCUGGGCUUAACCUGGGGACUGCGCUUGAUACUGCAGGGCUUGAGGGCGAGAGAGGGUGGUAGAAUUCCCAGUGUAGAGGUGAAAUUCGUAGAUAUUGGGAAGAACACCGGUGGCGAAGGCGACCACCUGGCUCGGUUCUGACGCUGAGGCGCGACAGCGUGGGGAGCAAACAGGAUUAGAAACCCUAGUAGUCC